rnacentral:rRNA from 1 species
GAUGAACGCUGGCGGCGUGCUUAACACAUGCAAGUCGAACGGGAAAUACUUCAUUGAGACUUCGGUGGAUUUGAUUUAUUUCUAGUGGCGGACGGGUGAGUAACGCGUGGGUAACCUGCCUUAUACAGGGGGAUAACAGUCAGAAAUGGCUGCUAAUACCGCAUAAGCGCACAGAGCUGCAUGGCUCAGUGUGAAAAACUCCGGUGGUAUAAGAUGGACCCGCGUUGGAUUAGCUAGUUGGUGGGGCAACGGCCCACCAAGGCGACGAUCCAUAGCCGGCCUGAGAGGGUGAACGGCCACAUUGGGACUGAGACACGGCCCAGACUCCUACGGGAGGCAGCAGUGGGGAAUAUUGCACAAUGGGGGAAACCCUGAUGCAGCGACGCCGCGUGAAGGAAGAAGUAUCUCGGUAUGUAAACUUCUAUCAGCAGGGAAG